rnacentral:lncRNA from 1 species
CACAGUAGAACCCUACACAACAAGAAUCCUACACCCCUGCACAACAUAAAAAAACGGCGAAUUUGACCCCUCCAUUUUCUUCUUCUCCAAUCUGAUUUCUCUUCUCACUCCCUCAUUUCUCUAAUUUUACCCACAAUAACAGAAGCUUCCCCUUGAAAAGAGGACAUAUCCCCCUUUCCUUCAAAUGGGUUUGGACCGAGAAUAAAUUGACUCCGAAAAGGAGAAUCCUGAUUGUAUAAUAAAUCGUACCCCCAUUGUUUUAUUCGGCGAGUUGAGGUCAAAAUCCGGCGGCUGCUUUUCUUAAUCUUCUUCUCCAGCGAACUCAUUUGAGAAAUCGAGUUGAUGACUAAUAGGGAGAUCCGGCUGAAUACUUAUGGGUACCACAAAAAUUGAGGAAUCGGACUCGGGAUUUUAUUGGUUUCUUUAUUGCCUUCUCGCUGCUAUCUGUUGCUCGUUUACUGCUGAAGCUCCAUUUUAGACCAUUUCAAGCUUUUAUUUGGCUUUCCACAUUGAUCUUUCACUUUCAAUAGGUAUGUCCUGACUACUAAUGUAUCCAUAUUUUCUCUUUGAAUGCAAAAAAUAAUAAUAAUGUUUUCAUGGCUCGAUUUGUUGAAUGUUUGCGUAUUGAUAUGGCGAUAAACUGAUUUGCGGUUUGUAUUACUCGAGAUGAACUUAAAUUGAUUGUGAAACCAUGAUUUUGUCAAUAAGAAUUGAAAACUUUCUCUUGGGUGGAUUUUGUAAAAUGUCCUAAAUUAUUUUCUGAUUUUUUUUAUAGCUGUGACCGAAAUCUGGUGAACUUGCAUAACCAGCAAUUUAGCAUGUUUAUUCAUCUUAACCUUACAAGUGUGGAUGAUUAAGAUAUAUAUAUAUGUAUAUAUAUAACUCUUAUACUUUCGAUUGUGAGAACUAAGAACUAGCUUGAGGAGGAGUAAUAUUUAUAUUAUUUUUAGAUGGUUUAUUGAUACAUGCUUCAUGCCGAAAGAAUUUGGAACCAUUAAUUUUCAGCAUAAUAGCUCGUAAAUCUUUCGAAAAUUUGGUACUUGAUUAGUGCAGUACUCUAAUUGUUUACAAAAUGUGGUUGUAGAUUUGGGUCAGAAUCAUGUCAUAUGUGCUCAUCCACUUUCCAAAAGGUAAUUUGAGACCACAUUUAAAAGUACAUGAAUGAGCUUCGGUUUUGGCAGGGUGGGUGGUGUUUUAAGCAUAGAAAACAGAUUUGUGAUUGGUAUUAGAAUAUGGAUUACCAAUGUGUCUUGUAGCUUGGAAUCUUGCUUCUCUCAUUUUCUAAGUGUACUUUACAUAUGAGAAUUGUGAUUCAUUGUUUCUUUUUGUUGUAUUUUCUUUAAGAUUUUAGUUCCAGAAGUUAUGAUUUUUUAGAUUUUCUUUUCUUUAGUACAGAAAAGGUACUACUGUGAUAUCUUUUAA